GGUCCAGUGGUGUAACGGUUUAUCACGUCUCGUUCACAUUUGUGGACUAAAAAUCCGAGGAGGUUCCGCGUUCGAUUCGCGGUUGGAUCA
rnacentral:tRNA from 1 species